UACGUAGGGUGCGAGCGUUGUCCGGAAUUACUGGGCGUAAAGAGUUCGUAGGCGGUUUGUCGCGUCGUUCGUGAAAACUUGGGGCUUAACUCCAAGCGUGCGGGCGAUACGGGCAGACUUGAGUACUACGGGGGAGACUGGAAUUCCUGGUGUAGCGGUGAAAUGCGCAGAUAUCAGGAGGAACACCGGUGGCGAAGGCGGGUCUCUGGGUAGUAACUGACGCUGAGGAACGAAAGCGUGGGUAGCGAACAGG
rnacentral:rRNA from 1 species